GGCGUAAAGAGCUCGUAGGUGGUUUGUCGCGUUGUUCGUGAAAUCUCACGGCUUAACUGUGAGCGUGCGGGCGAUACGGGCAGACUUGAGUACUGCAGGGGAGACUGGGAUUCCUGGUGUAGCGGUGGAAUGCGCAGAUAUCAGGAGGAACACCGGUGGCGAAGGCGGGUCUCUGGGCAGUAACUGACGCUGAGGAGCGAAAGCGUGGGGAGCGAACAGGAUUAGAUACCCUGGUAGUCCACGCCGUAAACGGUGGGUACUAGGUGUGGGUUUCCUUCCUUGGGAUCCGUGCCGUAGCUAACGCAUUAAGUACCCCGCCUGGGGAGUACGGCCGCAAGGCUAAAACUCAAAGAAAUUGACGGGGGCCCGCACAAGCGGCGGAGCAUGUGGAUUAAUUCGAUGCAACGCGAAGAACCUUACCUGGGUUUGACAUGCACAGGACGCCGGCAGAGAUGUCGGUUCCCUUGUGGCCUGUGUGCAGGUGGUGCAUGGCUGUCGUCAGCUCGUGUCGUGAGACGUUGGGUUAAGUCCCGCAACGAGCGCAACCCUCGUCUUUAGUUACCAUCAUUUAGUUGGGUACUCUAAAGAAACCGCCGGUGAUAAGCCGGAGGAAGGUGGGGAUGACGUCAAGUCCUCAUGGCCCUUACGCGCUGGGCUACACACGUGCUACAAUGGCGACUACAGUGGGCUGCAAUCCCGCGAGGGUGAGCUAAUCUCCAAAAGUCGUCUCAGUUCGGAUUGUUCUCUGCAACUCGAGAGCAUGAAGGCGGAAUCGCUAGUAAUCGCGG
rnacentral:rRNA from 1 species